UUCUUCUUCUGCGCCUGCGCGCUGUGCCAUGGGCGUGCAUCUGCGGUCCUUGCGCCUUUAUUUCCAUCGACCACACCUACAAAGGAAGAUGGUCCUGUGCGGAGUACGCGUACACCUUUCCCAGACCUAUUAUGUAGAUCUUUCUUUGUGAAUGAAGACGUUUGAGGAGAACGAACUAAACAGCCUACUUAUUUACAAGCCAGUUUCCUAAGGGUGCCGCUGCCCUACAGCCAUGGGCCUCUGGGCUCGUUUGUUAAGUCUGUUUUGAACAUGCAUGCACUGGGCUGCCUGCUUUGGCUCUUGGGCCUGCAUUUGUUGUAUCUCCUUUAAAAAAAUAAAAAAAAAUAAACCAGCCUAUAUCUUU
rnacentral:lncRNA from 1 species